UACGAAGGGGGCUAGCGUUGCUCGGAAUCACUGGGCGUAAAGGGUGCGUAGGCGGGGCUUUAAGUCAGGGGUGAAAUCCUGGAGCUCAACUCCAGAACUGCCUUUGAUACUGAAGAUCUUGAGUUCGGGAGAGGUGAGUGGAACUGCGAGUGUAGAGGUGAAAUUCGUAGAUAUCUGGAGGAACAACAGAGGCGAAGGCGGCUCUCUGGACCAUUACUGACACUGAGGCGCGAAAGCGUGGGGAGCAAACAGG
rnacentral:rRNA from 1 species